GAGUUUGAUCCUGGCUCAGGAUGAACGCUGGCGGCGUGCCUAACACAUGCAAGUCGAACGCAGGGCUUCGGCCCUGAGUGGCGGACGGGUGCGUAACACGUGGGGAUCUGCCCUGAAGUGGGGGACAACAGCCGGAAACGGCUGCUAAUACCGCAUGAGGCCUUUGGGUCAAAGCAGCAAUGCGCUUCAGGAGGAACCUGCGGCCUAUCAGCUCGUUGGAGGGGUAACGGCCCACCAAGGCGAUGACGGGUAGCUGGCCUGAGAGGGUGGUCAGCCACAUGGGGACUGAGAGACGGCCCCAACUCCUACGGGAGGCAGCAGUGAGGGAUCUUGCACAAUGGGCGAAAGCCUGAUGCAGCAACGCCGCGUGGAGGAUAACGGCCUUCGGGUUGUAAACUCCUUUUCAGGGGGAGCAGUAAGGAGAGUACCCCUGGAAGAAGUCACGGCUAACUACGUGCCAGCAGCCGCGGUAAUACGUAGGUGGCAAGCGUUAUCCGGAAUUACUGGGCGUAAAGGGUCCGCAGGUGGGACGAAUAGUCCGGUGUGACACCCCUCGGCUCAACUGGGGGAGGCCAUUGGAAACUGUCGUUCUUGAGUCACGGAGAGGGGUGCGGAAUUCCGGGUGUAGUGGUGGAAUGCGUAGAGAUCCGGAGGAACACCAGAGGCGCAAGCGGCACCCUGGCUGCUGACUGACACUGAGGGACGAAAGCGUGGGGAGCAAACAGGAUUAGAUACCCUGGUAGUCCACGCGGUAAACGAUGUGUGCUAGGUGUCUGGGGACUAGACCCCCUGGGCGCCGC
rnacentral:rRNA from 1 species